rnacentral:rRNA from 1 species
AUUGAACGCUGGCGGCAGGCCUAACACAUGCAAGUCGAACGGUAACAGGAAGCAGCUUGCUGCUUUGCUGACGAGUGGCGGACGGGUGAGUAAUGUCUGUGAAACUGCCUGAUGGAGGGGGAUAACUACUGGAAACGGUAGCUAAUACCGCAUAACGUCGCAAGACCAAAGAGGGGGACCUUCGGGCCUCUUGCCAUCUGAUGUGCCCAGAUGGGAUUAGCUAGUAGGUGGGGUAACGGCUCACCUAGGCGACGAUCCCUAGCUGGUCUGAGAGGAUGACCAGCCACACUGGAACUGAGACACGGUCCAGACUCCUACGGGAGGCAGCAGUGGGGAAUAUUGCACAAUGGGCGCAAGCCUGAUGCAGCCAUGCCGCGUGUAUGAAGAAGGCCUUCGGGUUGUAAAGUACUUUCAGCGGGGAGGAAGGGAGUAAAGUUAAUACCUUUGCUCAUUGACGUUACCCGCAGAAGAAGCACCGGCUAACUCCGUG